CCCGCACAAGCGGAGGAGCAUGUGGUUUAAUUCGAUGAUACGCGAGGAACCUUACCUGGGCUCGAACGUAAGAUGACUGUAGGUGAAAGCUUACAUCUCUUCGGAGCAUUUUACGAGGUGCUGCAUGGUUGUCGUCAGCUCGUGCCGUGAGGUGUCGGGUUAAGUCCCAUAACGAGCGCAACCCCUACCUUUAGUUGCCAUCAGGUUAAGCUGGGGACUCUAAAGGAACUGCCUACGCAAGUAGUGAGGAAGGCGGGGAUGACGUCAAAUCAGCACGGCCCUUACGUCCAGGGCUACACACGUGCUACAAUGGCCGAUACAGAGGGCAGCUACCUGGUGACAGGAUGCAAAUCUCCAAAGCCGGUCUCAGUUCGGAUCGGAGUCUGCAACCCGACUCCGUGAAGUUGGAUUCGCUAGUAAUCGCGCAUCAGCCAUGGCGCGGUGAAUACGUUCCCGGGCCUU
rnacentral:rRNA from 1 species